rnacentral:rRNA from 1 species
UACGUAGGGUGCGAGCGUUGUCCGGAAUUACUGGGCGUAAAGAGCUCGUAGGUGGUUUGUCGCGUUGUUCGUGAAAUCUCACGGCUUAACUGUGAGCGUGCGGGCGAUACGGGCAGACUAGAGUACUGCAGGGGAGACUGGAAUUCCUGGUGUAGCGGUGGAAUGCGCAGAUAUCAGGAGGAACACCGGUGGCGAAGGCGGGUCUCUGGGCAGUAACUGACGCUGAGGAGCGAAAGCGUGGGGAGCGAACAGGAUUAGAUACCCUGGUAGUCCACGCCGUAAACGGUGGGUACUAGGUGUGGGUUUCCUUCCUUGGGAUCCGUGCCGUAGCUAACGCAUUAAGUACCCCGGCUGGGGAGUACGGCCG